GACGAACGCUGGCGGCGUGCUUAACACAUGCGAGUCGAACGGAAAGGCCUCUUUCGGGGGGUACUCGAGUGGCGAACGGGUGAGUAACACGUGAGUAACCUGCCCUUGACUUUGGGAUAACUUCAGGAAACUGGGGCUAAUACCGGAUAGGAGCUCCUGCUGCAUGGUGGGGGUUGGAAAGUUUCGGCGGUUGGGGAUGGACUCGCGGCUUAUCAGCUUGUUGGUGGGGUAGUGGCUUACCAAGGCUUUGACGGGUAGCCGGCCUGAGAGGGUGACCGGCCACAUUGGGACUGAGAUACGGCCCAGACUCCUACGGGAGGCAGCAGUGGGGAAUAUUGCACAAUGGGUGGAAGCCUGAUGCAGCAACGCCGUGUGCGGGAUGACGGCCUUCGGGUUGGAAACCGCUUUCGCUCAUGACGAAGCUUUGCGUGACGGUAGUGGGUAAAGAAGCACCGGCUAACUACGUG
rnacentral:rRNA from 1 species